rnacentral:rRNA from 1 species
CCUACGGGUGGCAGCAGUGAGGAAUAUUGGUCAAUGGUCGGGAGACUGAACCAGCCAAGCCGCGUGAGGGAGGAAGGUACAGAGUAUCGUAAACCUCUUUUGUCAGGGAACAAAGACUGGGACGCGUCCCCGGAUGAGGGUACCGGAAGAAAAAGCAUCGGCUAACUCCGUGCCAGCAGCCGCGGUAAUACGGAGGAUGCGAGCGUUAUCCGGAUUUAUUGGGCUUAAAGGGUGCGCAGGCGGUCUUUUAAGUCAGCGGUAAAAGCCCGGGGCUCAACCCCGGCCCGCCGUUGAAACUGGCCGUCUCGAGUUGGAGAGAAGUAUGCGGAAUGCGCGGUGUAGCGGUGAAAUGCAUAGAUAUCGCGCAGAACUCCGAUUGCGAAGGCAGCAUGCCGGCUCCACACUGACGCUGAGGCGCGAAAGCGUGGGUAUCGAACAGGAUUAGAUACCCUAGUAGUC